GAUGGAGAUCAGAGUGUGCUCCUCCGAUUUAUUAUAUGAUUGCAAACGGAAAAAUCGGGGACAGAAAUCAGGUAUUGGCAGUUUUUCCAUUUUCAUUUGUGUGUGAAUGUUUAAUAUAAAUGCGGGGACAUAAAGCAUUAAUGCAAGUCAAAAUGUUUCAGUGAACACGUUUCAGCAGUUCACCUUUAUAACAAUUAUAAAUAAAUUUGUUAAAUUUUUCUGGACAAUGCCAGCAUUUGGAUUUUUUGAAAACAAGUAAAACUUCUUAUUGACUGCAACAAUGGUGUUUGUAGCAUUUUAAUAAUACAGUAGGUUCCAUCCAUUCACUAUACUUUUCUAACUGAGUUGUCCUACAUGCAAGUACGUUUUUAAUGUUGUCUGUCUUCUGUGCUGUUCCUGUAAGUUUGCUAUUAAAACACAUUAAACU